UAUUGGUCAAUGGGCGCGAGCCUGAACCAGCCAAGUCGCGUGAGGGAGGACGGCCCUACGGGUUGUAAACCUCUUUUGCCGGGGGGCAACGGGAGUCACGUGUGGCGCCACUGAGAGUACCCGGCGAAAAAGCAUCGGCUAACUCCGUGCCAACAGCCGCGGUAAUACGGAGGAAGCGAGCGUUAUCCGGAUUUAUUGGGUUUAAAGGGUGCGUAGGCGGGCUUUUAAGUCAGCGGUAAAAAUUCGGGGCUCAACCCCGUCCGGCCGUUGAAACUGGGGGCCUUGAGUGGGCGAGAAGAAGGCGGAAUGCGUGGUGUAGCGGUGAAAUGCAUAGAUAUCACGCAGAACCCCGAUUGCGAAGGCAGCCUUCCGGCGCCCUACUGACGCUGAGGCACGAAAGUGCGGGGAUCGAACAGG
rnacentral:rRNA from 1 species